rnacentral:rRNA from 1 species
AUUGAACGCUGGCGGCGGGCCUAACACAUGCAAGUCGAGCGGAUGAAGGGAGCUUGCUCCUGGAUUCAGCGGCGGACGGGUGAGUAAUGCCUAGGAAUCUGCCUGGUAGUGGGGGAUAACGUCCGGAAACGGGCGCUAAUACCGCAUACGUCCUGAGGGAGAAAGUGGGGGAUCUUCGGACCUCACGCUAUCAGAUGAGCCUAGGUCGGAUUAGCUAGUUGGUGGGGUAAAGGCCUACCAAGGCGACGAUCCGUAACUGGUCUGAGAGGAUGAUCAGUCACACUGGAACUGAGACACGGUCCAGACUCCUACGGGAGGCAGCAGUGGGGAAUAUUGGACAAUGGGCGAAAGCCUGAUCCAGCCAUGCCGCGUGUGUGAAGAAGGUCUUCGGAUUGUAAAGCACUUUAAGUUGGGAGGAAGGGCAGUAAGUUAAUACCUUGCUGUUUUGACGUUACCAACAGAAUAAGCGCCGGCUAACUUCGUG